rnacentral:tRNA from 1 species
GAGGGUUUAUCUCAGUGGUAGAGUGCAUACCUAGUAUACACGAAGUCCUGGGUUCAAUACCCAGUACCUCCA